UGGUGGUGAGCUGUGGAAAAGGACUUCAGGGGCUGAUGUCAUUUGCAUGGACACACCCACCCUGCCUAGCAUGAAGGGACUGCCUGCCAAAUGGUCACUCUGGCUGCUGUGGGACCCCCAGUCUCUUUGUUUUCGGGGCAGGAGUAAUAAAGUGUUGUUAUCCUGGUUAUGGAAUCAAGGACGGUAGAACUGUACUUGGCAUUUUAUGACGGAGGGACUCGCCCUCAACUAAGUAGCUUUUGGUAGGCAGAGGACAUGGAUUCCAAAGGCUAGUGAAGGGGGAGAAGUAUUGUGAGUAGUUGUUGGUUGCCUGUGAAGGUUCUAAACAUCACUUUGAUCUUUCUUUUUCUCAACUGUAUAAUAAGAGAGCUAAUUUUGACUCUCUAUUAGGAAUCUUAUUACAUGUUGCAGAGCUCAAAUCACUGAUUAGUAGUGUCAAAGUUAGACUCAGGACUCAUAGUUUGUCAGACCACUCUGUUUUAUUAGCACAGCGCUCUGCUAAUACAUUCAGAUAAUGUGAGCCUCCAUGCAAGAUUCAAACAGUCUUAUUUAUACAGAUAAAAGGGUGCGAACUAAACAAAGGGACAGAGAGAGCAAAAUUGUAAAAUAUGCAUGGAGCACAAUAUGCAUAUCCUGCUUUCUUAUUAACUCUUAUCGAUCUAAGACUAAUGCUUCACCAAUUGCCCUUAAGUGGCAAGUUAAGCAGUUAAUGUCUGCUUUCCUGCCCCCCUGGCUUGCAGCAUUUCUCAUUUCGACUUAAAGGUACAUACAGCAUUCUUUAAUUCCUUCUAUUUCUUUAAUAGAAUUCAUUUCACUUUCACAGUAGGUGUAAGCAUUAGACUUACUUUGGGUGAGUGGUUCUGAGUGCAACAUUAGGGCCUCCCUGCUAACAGCUGAAAUCACCGAGAGCUGUGUUAAGUGUGUGGGGGGGCUGGAGGCACAUUUGUGAGCGGCUAGCAGGACGGCUAGCGGAGUGGUAGGGCUAGCAGGACGGCUGGUGGUGAAGACUGCAGCAGAACCCCGUGGAGAGGUGUGGUAACUGGCCGUUGACUGGAGCAGGUAAGCUGCCCCCAUACCUUCCCCCCCCACUUCUACCCCCGCUGGGAGGUAAACUCUGCAGAUGAAUUUGUGAACUCUGAGGCUGCACUGACCAAGGACAGAAACUGUGGGAGGGGGUGACUGUUGGGUUGCUGGACUUGAGACCCUGAGGAGAAAAAGACACUGCCAAACUUACUUGGAGGUGGGUCUUUUGCUCAUGGUUUGUGUUAUGAAUCCUGUUUGUGGUGUUUCCCCACAUAAUGCCGCAUUGUUUCCCUCCUUUAUUAAAAGGCUUUUGCUACACUCAGACUCCGUGCUUGCGAGAGGGGAAGUAUUGCCUCUUAGAGGCACCCAGGGGGUGGUAUGUAAUUGUCCCAGGUCACUGGGUGGGGGCUUGAGCCGGUUUUGCAUUGCGUUAUUGAAACAGAACCCCUAGAUACAGAACCGGUCCUUGUUGCUGCCAACUGUGACGGGCAGAAGGGUUACAAUAAUAUACACCCUCUCUGAUGGACACAUCGCUGCUGCUCCACCUCAGACAAUGAGCCCCAGCAGCCUGAAUCUAUCUCUGCACAUGCAGAUUUGUGGCAAAACUUCAGUGCUCUGGUCAGAUCCCAGCUGGGGUCAAUCGGCCGUCGCUCCAUUGGGGUCAAUGGGGAGCUUCCAAUCUGAAAGUCAGGAAACAGGCUCCACAGCUUUUAAUCUGGCCAGACAACAAGGGGACCCCGAAGGGACACGAAUCCUACUGCAGGGCUCACCCCAGGCACGGCUGAGCACCCCGACCACCGGUGAAAUCGGGGGGAGAUGCGGGAGCCCAUCUCCCACCUGGAGACGUUGGGAGCCCUCAGAACGGUUAGGCCAGCUGGUGUCGGUGCACUGGCUGGUCUCAUUCAUGCCCGGGUCUAGCCCACGAGUCUGGUGUUUGUCUUGCAGAUGAAUGUUGGUUCGCUCCUCUUCCCAGUCCAUGCUGCUUCCCCUCUUGAUUCUCAACUUUGCCGUGGCAGAAACCUCAGCACCAGAUGUUGUAGCUCAGUUUGGGGGGGACGUCACCCUGAGCUGCCUCUUCCCGUCCCCGCCCGGGAUGAACCUCCAGCGCCUGACCCUCACCUGGCAGAAGGAACGGGCGGGGGCAGAGGACCUGGUAGUUCAUAGUUACUAUUACGGGAAGGAGCAGCUGGAGAGACAGGACGAGGCUUAUAGGAACCGGACCCAGCUGGAUCCAGAGGGACUGGCCCGGGGGAACGCAUCCGUGACACUGAGGGGCGUCCGCAUCCAGGACGAGGGCGUCUAUCUCUGCCACAUCACCUCGGAGCAGGGCAAGAUUUCAGAAAGGAGACAGGUUAAAGUGAUGGCCCCGUACUCGGAGGCCCGACUGGAGGUUAGCGUGAGCAGCCAGUUGACCCUGACCUGCUGUGCGGAGGGCGGGUACCCCGAGGCCUCUGUGCUGUGGCUGGACGGAGCCGGGAACAACGUUACGGUGGAGAGCGACACCAGGCUGCAGAGAGACCCCAGGGGACUCUGUGAUGUGAGCAGCCGAAUCCUCCUGCCCAGGGGAGAAAGCGGCAACUACACCUGCCUCCUGGAGAGCCCCGGACAGCCCCACGUCGUCCGACACCUGAGCGUCUCCUGCAGCCCAGAUAAAUCCAGAGCUGCUAAAAUCCAUCCACGGGGAGCGCUCAGGUUUUGCUCCGUGUGUUGGGCGGCUGUAUGACUUGAUGAGCCUGCACAUGUCCCAGCAGCCUUUGGCAAGUGUCCUGUUCAUGUCGGACGUCUUCCAGGAUAAUCAUGGCUUCCUAGCUCCCAGCAAGGCGGGGUCGUUUCUGUGCCCCGGAGCUGUUUUGAUCCGUGCGGGUGCCCCCAGCGACGUGGCAGCUAAUGGAAACUAAAGUGCGG